GGGGGUUCCCCUUGCAGAGCUGCCUAGAACAGCAAUGUGUUAGGAGACGCCUCCGAAGAGCCUCCUCCUCCUCAGCUGGCAAGAAACGCAGACUCUCGGCAGUGCCAUUCUUGCAGCAGAAAGGCCCUGUGUGACUCCAGCACUCGGAGCAGCCGCCUUAUCUGGGGUGAUUUCCCAUCUGCCUCCCUGGGCCCAGGAUUUCCUUCCUGCACAGAACUUAUCUUGUCGGGAAGCAGAGCUGUGCGCUAGAGGCAGGCCCAGCAAAUGGAAUGCUCGUUCGGUCUUGUGUUCUUAAUGACCCAUAACAGAGUCCUCAGAGGUGAAAAACAAAACCCUCCACCCCCUUAACCAUUUCUGUGCCCAUCCUGGUCUGGGAGAUUUCUUAAUCCUGCUGCGCCGUCACACGGACUCCUCUCUGGAUUUUAUCCUGCGGCCGCCGGGUCCAACUCAGCCGCACCGGGACUGGGGUGGGGAGGCGGAGCCCUGCAAGGGCUUGAAGUAGGGACUGCAAACCCCUGAAAGAGUGGGCAAAAUUCUGGGUAGAUGCAUUUUUCCGAGGGGAGAGUUCUUAAAGGGAUCUGAGACAGUCCCAAAGGUUAAGAACCACCUGCCAUCCCUUUGACCUUGUUGAAGUUUGAUCUCGGAGCCUAGCUUCAUUAUCAGAAAGAACGAGAAUACCC
rnacentral:lncRNA from 1 species